UUUCGCAAUGCCCGAAAGGGUGACGAAGCGACGCCGCGUGUGGGACGAAGGCCUUCGGGUUGUAAACCACUGUCGGGAGUUAAGAAAUGCAAGGAUAUUAAUAGUGUCUUUGUUUGACUAAGGCUCCGGAGGAAGCCACGGCUAACUCUGUGCCAGCAGCCGCGGUAAUACAGAGGCGGCAAGCGUUGUUCGGAAUUAUUGGGCGUAAAGAGCACGUAGGCGGCUAUGUAAGUCGGUUGUGAAAGCCUUCCGCUCAACGGAAGAACAGCAUCCGAUACUACAUGGCUUGAGUGCGGGAGGGGAGAGUGGAACUUCUGGUGGAGCGGUGAAAUGCGUAGAUAUCAGAAGGAACGCCGGCGGCGAAAGCGGCUCUCUGGCCCAUAACUGACGCUGAGUGUGCGAAAGCUAGGGGAGCAAACGGGAUUAGAUACCCCGGUAGUCCUAGCCGUAAACGAUGGGCCCUAAGUAGAGGGGUUUU
rnacentral:rRNA from 1 species